rnacentral:rRNA from 1 species
ACGAACGCUGGCGGCGUGCUUAACACAUGCAAGUCGCACGGAAAGGCCCUGCUUGCAGGGUCCUCGAGUGGCGAACGGGUGAGUAACACGUGGGUGAUCUGCCCUGCACUUCGGGAUAAGCCUGGGAAACUGGGUCUAAUACCGGAUAUGAGCCAUUUUUAGUGUGAUGGUUGGAAAGUUUUUUCGGUGUAGGAUGAGCUCGCGGCCUAUCAGCUUGUUUGUUGGGUAAUGGCCUACCAAGGCGGCGACGGGUAGCCGGCCUGAGAGGGUGGACGGCCACAUUGGGACUGAGAUACGGCCCAGACUCCUACGGGAGGCAGCAGUGGGGAAUAUUGCACAAUGGGCGCAAGCCUGAUGCAGCGACGCCGCGUGGGGGAGGACGGCCUUCGGGUUGUAAACUCCUUUCGCUAGGGACGAAGCUUUUUGUGACGGUACCUAGAUAAGAAGCACCGGCUAACUAAGUG